CAGUGCAGGAAGAGGCCUUUGUCAAAAGCAGGCUCAGUAUGGCAGCUGUCCCAGGCCUGGCCCCAUUUCCUUCCCUCCCCACUCCUCCUUUCUCGUGGUGGCUUUCUCGCUCUUUUUCUUGGUGUGGGGCUGGGGCCUCUCGGGACUUAUCAGGUGCACCCAUUCACUGGGCUUCACUGUAUGAGAUGGGGCUCAGCUGGAGGCAGCAAGUGUCGGGGGAAGAAAGGGCUGAUUGAAUUUGCUUUGGGACCAGCUCCAAGUCCUGCAAGGCUUGCAAAUGUUUAGGGGGAGAUUUCCAUAUCACUCUAAAGUUGCUUGUCUUUCUCCCAAAGGGAAAGGCUGCUGCCAAAAGUGGAGGACUUAAAGCUGGAGGCCGCCCCAAAGACGGGGAAAUGAAGAAAACGCCGUUUCUGGAGCUCCCUGAGGUGAGUGUGUGCGCGCGAGUGCACGUGUGCUAGUCUUUGGCUCCUUGUUAAUUCCCUAUAACAGAUCACAGUGCCGAGGAGAAGCCAGGGCGUCUCUAGGCAUUUGGCCAGCAGGAGGGGCACAGGAGGCUGGACAGCAGCGGUGGGCCUGCUCCUGCUCCCCUAGGAUUCAUCUUAGCCUGACUGAUCAGUAAUUUCAGCACUCUGCCUUACUUAGAAAUCUCCAGGAACUUCUCCGUGAAUUUACAAUAAAAUCCAAACUACUCUCCCUGGCUCUCGAAGUCCUAAGAGAUCUGCCCCUGCUAACUUCUCUGACAUCACUCCCUCCAUGGUCCUCACUCCCUCCAUGGUCCUCUUGCUCACACCACUCUACCGCACUGAAGCCUUGCCUUUUCUCACCUGCCACGCCAUGUCCAUGUCAGGAUCCCUUCCUAUGCCCUUGCCUGGAAGGCUCCCCCAGGUCUCUGCAUGGCUUGCCUCCUCUAGAGUACAGGUCUUCGCUCUAAUAUGGCUUGCUCAGAGAAGCCUGCUCUGACCCUUCAACUUAAAACCAUUCUCCCCUAAUUUCCAUCACUCUAUCUUGCUUGAUAGUUUUUCCUUUAUGAUACAUCACUGUCUGAAAUUAUCUUGUUUAUUGAUUUUUUUGUUUAUUGUUUUAUCUUCCCCUAGAGUAAAAGUAUGAGGUCGGAGAUUUCAGCUUGUAUGCCCAGCAGCUUAAACUGUGCCUGGGUUUACAUGCUGGGUUUUUAGUAGAUAUUGAAGGAGCAAAUGGAUAGUGUUACUGAAUUGACCUCCUGAGAGUGAAGCUUUGAGAGCGUCUGAUCCGAAAAAAGGCUUUUCAUUGUCCUUCAAGAUCCUUCAAAAUCUGGCCCAAACUUUCUUUAUAUUCUUAUCUUGCAUGACACUCUUUCCUAUCACUUUUAAUCUAUCUAAAGUGGGCUUUGUUUUCCACUUUCUCGCUGCUCUUUCUCACCUUGGGAUUCUGUUCACAUCAGUUUCUCUAACCAGCAAGCCAUUCCCCUCGUAUCCUCAGUUCCUCUUAAAAUAACGCAUAGCCCAUCAUCUCCUCUUCUGUAAGGCGGUUGCCUUUGCACAUUCCCUUGCCUGGAGAAGCCCUUUUUUUACUCUGAAUUUCCAUGAGACUUGCACUCUUUUAGGCUGUGACUUGCAGCAUUGUACCUAGUAAUGUUAGUCAUUCACUAUAUCCUCAGUAUCUAGCACCUGCCGCAUAGUAGGCACACAAUACAUAUUUGUUAAAUGGGUGAAUAUUAUAGUUUUGUUAUCUUUUUACACUGUAAAUGUCAUGGAAGGGUCUAUUUUGUUUAUCUGUGUAACCUCCUACAGCAUCUAGCAUGCUUGUUGAAUGAGUGAAUAAAUGAAAGCUAUUAUUCCCAACUCCAGGUGUAGUUCAACUCAAAUAAUGAAUAAAUCUCCCAAUUGUCUGGGCCAUCUUUUGACAUUCCUCCUCCCUUUGGGCACAUUGUUUUGUUUACAUCCCCAUGAAUGCUGUGUUCAGAAUAGCAAUACUAGCAACUGAUGAUUGUGGUAUGCGGAAUUCUAAGAGAGCAUCUGCCAAGAUUCCGAGCCGUUGGCAUAACCAUGUUUUCCCCAUUAUUUUAAACAUUAAUCUAGGUACUUCUGUGCAACGGAUUUGCAGAUAUAUUUAAGGCAUUGAAUCAGUUAACUUUAAGUUAGGGAGAUUAUUCAGGUGGGCUGGACCUAACCACUUGAGCCCUAUAAAACCAGAGAAUUUUCUUUGCUCACACACAAGAAAAGAAGUCAGAGAUUUGAAGCAUUAAGGAAUUGGAUGCACAAGUAUUUCUCUGUUGCUAACUCUGAAGAUGCAGGGGACCACGUGAUAAGGGAUGUGGGUGGCCUCUAGGCCCUGAGGGUGACCCCCACAUGACAGCUAGCAAGGAAAUGAGGACCACAGUCAUACAACUGCAGAAAACUCAAUUCUGCCCAACCACAGGAGCUCAGAAGCAGAUUCUGCUCAGCCGCAGAUGGAAACCAUACCUGAGGCAACGCCUGAAUUUCAGUCCGGUCAGGUCCUGAGUGGGAACCCAGCCAUGCCAUGCCCAGACUUCUGACCUACUAAAACCUUGUGAUAAUAAAUCUAUGUUGCUUUAAGUUGCUAAGUAUGGCACUUUUUGUGACACAACCAUAGGAAACUGAUACAGUGAUGAGGAUGAAGGCAUAGAGAAACAACCUUCAAGAAGGACUGGACGAAAGAAAGAGCAACAGCAGUCCCCAAGUUUUGCAUCUCUGUCUUAUGACUCUGAUUCUUCAGCUCCAAGCUCCACAACCACUAACAACUACAGGUCUUGAUUCUGUCCCUGGCCACUCAGGUACCCUCUAAGAAAGAGGAUUGAGACAUGAUUAAUAAAUGAAUGUCUUCUUUGGACAAGGGGAGCAGCUUCUGUUCUCAGAAUCCCUGAGCUGCGCUCCUCUGGAGUGUCACCCCCAGGCUGGAGGAGAUGGCUGUGUCAGUUUCCCAUUGCUGCUCUAACAAAGCGUGCAGAUUCUGCAACUCAGAACCAGAGACGUCCAUUGCCCCACAGCUCCAGAGACUGGAAGUAUGGGAUCAAGGUGCUGGUUGGGCCCCCUUCCCUCAGGCAAUGCUAGGGAAGGAUCUCUCCUGGCUUCGGGCGGUUCCUUGGGGUGUGUGGCAUACCUGCCCCUUGCCCUCCCCCAACACCUGUCUUCACAAGACCCUCUCCCUGUGAAGCUCAUUGUCCACAUUUCCCCUUUUUAUUUGGCAACCAGUCAUAUGGGAUUACGGCAUACCCUAAUUACCUCAUUUUAACUUGAUUAACCUCUGCAAAGACCCUAUCUCCAAUGAAAGUCACGUUUCUGGGUACUGGGUGUUAGGGCUUAAACAUAUCUUUUUGGAGGAAGACGCAAUUCAACCCAUAACCACAGUCCAUCCCUGAACUACAUGCUGCAGAGGGAGAGACCUGGUUGAUUGGCUUAGGUCAUCUGAGAGGGAUGCAUGUGGGGCAGUGGUUCGCAGGGCCCACACUCUCCUCGCAGGUACUGGGAGAGUGACAGGAGCCCAGCACCUGGCAUAGAGAAGGCUCUCAGAGUCUGGACUAGAGACUACAUAUUAGCUGUGUAACUUGGAGGAGCGUACUUACUCUCCCUAAACUUCAGCCGCAAAAUGGAGAUGACGCUACAUGCCUGGAAGGGUGGCUGUACCAACCCAGCAAGACAUCAGGCCUGGAGUAAGUGCUUAAUAAAUGGAAUUGUCCCUGG
rnacentral:lncRNA from 1 species